ensembl:lncRNA
AUGUCCACUUGUCUCAGAAUUCGUGUCCUGGCUGGGACCACCUGUCUUCUCCAUGAAGCCUGCCCUGAUUCUCCCCGGGGGAAGGCUGGCCCCCUUUUCCAAACUCCCACUACAUUUUGUCCAAACGGUGUUGGAAGCCACUGGGACUCCCCAAGAGCAAGAUCCAAGUUGAAGGCAACUUUACCAUCCCCGCCAGUGCCUGACGUGGAGGGAGUGCCGCACACACCCGCCCUGAAUGCAGAACCAGCAGGUAAGGAUGCACAGCAAAGCAGGUAAGGGAGGGCUUGAGGGAGGAGAAGGAAAAGUCACAGAAAUGAAUCAGCAUUUAAAUGGUGACGUGAUGGACCAAGACAAAUUGCCCCCCUAGUUUCCAGUUUAAAGAUGGAUUAUCACAUUAAUGUUAAAUUCUAUUUAAAUGAGCCUAUUUCUUCACAGUGGGCAUUCAAUGAAAUGCCCCUGUGGAACAGAAUAUUAGGAGAAAAGAACAAAGGCUCAAUAAAGAUGGGAAUAGCUAAAGGUAAAACCAACUGUAUCCGUAAAAAAGUACAUCUUUUAAGCUUUAUUUCCCUGGUCUCAAAGACAUCAUCCCUAUUUUUCUUUUUGCAACCAGUACCAAUUACUCCUUUGUGUGGUUAACAAUGAGCUUUUUAAUUUUCUACCACUUGACCAUGCUCCAUUCAGCAAGGUUCAUCCUUAUUCCCCAGCCUUCUCUGACAAUUUCACCUUUCAUUCCAGGAAUGUAAUUGCUGAAAGGCAACCUCUGAAUCCUGGGAAUCUGGAACAGCCUUCAUUGUUCUAGCCGCCGCCUCACCUCCCUGUUUUGUAUCAAUCCACUGAACUUAGUUCAAUGCCAGAACAUCCAAAGUAUCUUACACAGACUGUUGGUGGGAGGUGAGACAUCACGACAGCCAAUUCCCUCCUCAUUCUACAGACGUCAGAACUAUCUCAGCCUCUUGCAGCUGCCAUUGAUCUCUAGGUCUGUGAAAACAGCACAUUCAAAUUUCAGUGGUUGCCUCCACCACAGCAAGCAUAGAUUAGAACCAGCUGUGGUUCUAGAUGCCCAGGCAUCUACACGGGAACACAGGCCUGUGAUCCAUGAGAGCAGAAGUUGGAAACCAGACUGACUUGGGUGGGUUCCCUGCCCCAGCGUUUGAGGCAUUGACUUGUAGCAUCACCUCCCCAAGGCUCAGGGUCCCUCGCCUGUAAAAUGAGGGACUAAAUGAGAAAUCAAAAGACUACUUGGCAGAGUGUCUAGAAUAGAGUAAGCUCAACAAAAGAUAUUAACUAAUAAUUAUAGUAAUAGUAGGCUUCCAUAUGGUGACUAGCCAGUCAAGCUGACAUUUGGCCUGGGGUCCCUGGGACCUGUCGUUGUUGUUGAGGUUCUUUGUUUGAUUUUUACCAGUCACUUCUCUCUAACCUGCUCUGAUCAGGCAGAGCUGAAGCUGUGCAUGAACACAGCUAGCCAGCUGAGGUACCAUCAUCUCCUCCCAGUCCGUUUCAGGAGGCUGGGCUGUUCUGCUGUGUCAGCUGUACAUCACCUCAUGUAGUUCGCCCUGACCCCCUUGCUUGUAACAACUCGAGAACAGGACCUGUUUCAUUUAGUCCUAAAUCCUCCUUCUCAAUAAAUCUUUGCUGAAUGAAUGAAUGAGUGAGCAAAAGCUACUUUCCCCAGUGCCAGUCGUAUUUCUAUAUCCAGUCUAAUUCUUUGCUUGAUCAACACUUGGUCUGACUUGUCAUUGGCCCCUUGGGCUGCUAGUUCCUCCUGGGACAGGGGCUCCUCAGCUUUCCACAUGGACCCUGCAUGGCCCUCCCUUGUCAGGAACAGUAGAAGCCUAGGCAGAGAGGGCUGGGUCUUAAAGGGCAGAGGAUCAAUAAACUUCCUCUGCUAAGGAAAAAGUUCCCAUAAUGGGAUAAGGCCGCACCAUUAGGACAGUAACCCACGGCCUUUCUUUUUCAAAUCUAGCUUCACACAGAAGCAAUAACUUUUAUUUGAACAUCCUUUGAUUUUAAACAUUAUCAAUCAAUAUGCAUUUAAGAGCACCAGACAUGUGCUUAGCAUUUUACUACAUGCUGAGGGUAAGAAAGAAGGGCUGCAUUGUUCUGAAUAUAAAGUAGGUUUUCUUUAAUAUUAUACAAUAAAACAUACAUUUCUGCCAUUUGCUUUACUGGUGAUCCCAGCUU